CCGUAACUAUAACGGUCCUAAGGUAGCGAAAUUCCUUGUCGGGUAAGUUCCGACCCGCACGAAUGGUGUAACGAUCUGGGCACUGUCUCAACUACCCACCCGGCGAAAUUGUAGUACCGGUGAAGAUGCCGGUUACCUGCGGCAAGACGGAAAGACCCCAUGGAGCUUUACUGUAGCCUGAUAUUGGGUUUCGGAAAUCUAUGUACAGGAUAGGCGGGAGACUUGGAAACAUGAGCGUCAGCUUGUGUGGAGUCGAUGUUGGGAUACCGCCCUUAGGUUUCUGGAAUUCUAACCUGCGGCCGUGAAUCCGGUCGGGGGACAUUGUCAGGUGGGCAGUUUGACUGGGGCGGUCGCCUCCGAAAAGGUAACGGAGGCGCUCAAAGGUUAGCUCAGCACGGACGGAAACCGUGCCUCUGAGUGUAAACGCAAAAGCUAGCCUAACUGCGAGGGUGACGGCCCGAGCAGUAACGAAAGUUGGAGUUAGUGAUCCGGCGGUAUGUGAAUGGAAAUGCCGUCGCUCAACGGAUAAAAGCUACCCUGGGGAUAACAGGCUGAUCUCCCCCAAGAGUCCACAUCGACGGGGAGGUUUGGCACCUCGAUGUCGGCUCAUCACAUCCUGGGGCUGUAUUCGGUCCCAAGGGUUCGGCUGUUCGCCGAUUAAAGUGGUACGCGAGCUGGGUUCAGAACGUCGCGAGACAGUUCGGUCCCUAUCUGUCGUGGGCGCAGGAUAUUUGAGGAGCUCUGUCCUUAGUACGAGAGGACCGGGAUGGACGUACCUCUGGUGCACCAGUUGUCAUGCCAAUGGCACGGCUGGGCAGCUAUGUACGGAACGGAUAAACGCUGAAAGCAUCUAAGCGUGAAGCCGACUCCAAGAUUAGAUAUCCCAUCGUAUAACGAGUAAGACCCCUUGAAGACUACGAGGUUGAUAGGCUGCGUGUGUAAGUGCCGUGAGGCAUUCAGCUUGGCAGUACUAAUAGGUCGAGGGCUUGACCAC
rnacentral:rRNA from 1 species